ACUUACCGUUGACAUAUCACAUCGUAUGAUGGUCCAUGAUUCUCACCGUUUAACGUAUGCGCUUCCUGAUCCCUGGCAGGAGAGAACGACGCCACAAUGACUAACGCUACUUCCGGUUAAAAAAUCGACCUUCAAAAUACCGAAGAAAGCCAGUAAUACAGAUCUGGAACGACAUGAGGGGGAGUGAAGAUGCUGAUCUGACAAACCCAGAGCUGCCACUCGCACCAGAAUGUGAUGAACGGCUGAAUCCAUUAAGUCUAGGCCAGCAGAUCACCGCAUAAUGCCUUUGAAGUCAAUCAUCACGAUUUACAUAUUCAACUUGAUGAGGACUUAUGCUCAGAUGAGACAUAUUGUUAACAAACUACCA